UAUUGUGUGUUCAUCGAAAGAAAUAAAAAGCAGAACAUCUUUCAUCCGUACAUUUUGUAAUACUGCUCGUGUGUCACACUUUAAAAAAAUAUUAAAGAAAUUCAGUCCAUUUCAUGAAGAGUGUCAUUACGUUCAAGGUAUUAUACGAAUAUUAGUUUACAAGUAAUUACAUUGAGCUUCGUAGCUUGAUAAAUAGGCACGUAUGUUUUCGCGGCCAACUAACAAAGAGCCGGGCGGUUAGUGAGUGACAACUUCCAGCAUGAGCAGGUAAAAUUGCAACAAGAGAGUAAGAAUGAGUUCUCGAGAGUUGUCGAUUUCAAACAACGGACAACAACAACUAUUAUGUUAACAACAGUGCCUGUUGUGAUUAAAUUUAAAAAAAAAUUCAACAACGAUGAAUACAGAUACAAUUUCGCAUCGUGACGGUUAAGGUUGGAACAAGUUGUUAGUUCUGCAUACCUCGAGGACCGACCGACGACCAGGCGACGAUGCAGCGUUCUUUCCAGGAA